rnacentral:misc_RNA from 1 species
GUUGAAGAACGUAGCGAAAUGCGAUAAGUAAUGUGAAUUGCAGAAUUCAGUGAAUCAUCGAAUCUUUGAACGCACAUUGCGCCCGCCAGUAUUCUGGCGGGCAUGCCUGUUCGAGCGUCAUUUCAACCAUCAAGCCCUGCUUGCGUUGGGGUCCUGCGGCUGCCCGCAGGCCCUGAAAACCAGUGGCGGGCUCGCUAGUCACACCGAGCGCAGUAAUACAUCUCGCUUUGGGCGUGCGGCGGGUUCUUGCCGUUAAACACCCCCUUUUUACCAAGGUUGACCUCGGAUCAGGUAGGAAUACCCGCUGAACUUAAGCAUAUCAAUAGCGGAGGA